GGUUAAGCGACUAAGCGUACACGGUGGAUGCCCUGGCAGUCAGAGGCGAUGAAGGACGUGCUAAUCUGCGAUAAGCGUCGGUAAGGUGAUAUGAACCGUUAUAGCCGGCGAUUUCCGAAUGGGGAAACCCAGUGUGAUCCG
rnacentral:rRNA from 1 species